GGUGGUGAAAUUGGUAGACACGCUAGCUUGAGGGGCUAGUGUUCGCAAGAACGUGCAGGUUCAACUCCUGUCCUGGGCACAA
rnacentral:tRNA from 1 species